AAUUGGAAAAAAUAGAAUUUGGGAAACGUUCUUCUUUCGCGUUCCUCAUUAGAAAAUCCAUUUAGGUUUUCUUUGACUAAAGUCAUUCUUCUCCAUCAGUAGUGCCUCUAUUCUGGUUUCUGCUUCUUCGGUGCUUCAAUCAGUGCUUCCAUCGUUGGUGCCGCUCCCAAUCUCGUCUCUCGUUUGUGAGUUUGAGUGGUUGUGGAGUUGAGGGUUGUGGUCUCUGGUUUACGUUUUGACUUGUGUCGCUUCAGUGGUGUAUGACUUUGAGGAGAAGCAUGGACAUGGAGCAUAUAAAUACAUGUUUUGAUGAUAUCAAAUUUCAUGAAGAACAUGACAAUGUAGAAGAAGAAUUAAAGAGUAGUAAUACAUUGACACGCCUAUGUGUCAUUAAAGAGUAGUAAUACAUUGACACGCCUACGUGUCAUACAACAGAGUAGUGUAGCUGGAUCCUCUUGAAAUUCUAAAUUUGUAAUCUGUUUUAAAUUUAAUUUUCUUUUAUUUUCUUGUGAGUUAUUGUUAUAAUUCUAUCAUGAGUUCUUUUGUCAAAAAGGGUUAUUUCACUGAGGCUUGGGCUGUUGUGGCUGAAAUGGGAGAAAAAUUUUAUCAUACUGAUAUAGCUACAUACAAUAUGAUACUUCAAGGUUUAGGAAAGAUGGGACGAUCUGAUCUAGUGUUUUUCUUGAUCCUUCUUGAAAUUCUAGCAGUCUAUGAAAUUGGAAUCUGUAAUUUAGUUUUUGCAUUAUCUGAAUUGUGUUGUGAUCAUAGCUGGUGUACUUCACGAUCAAUUUUGUUGUA